CUGAUGAAGGAAUGCUGCCAUCAAAAGCUUUGAAGCUUUUGUGGUGGAGCAGGACCUGCAAGGAAAGGUGACGGCAGCAUUUGUGGAAAAAAGAGAAGACCUGAAAC